AAGGCCUGAUGUGUGUGAGAUUACCCGCUGAAUUUAAGCAUAUAAGUAAGCGGAGGAAAAGAAACUAACUAGGAUUCCCUUAGUAAUGGCGAAUGAACAGGGAUCAGCUCAGUGCCAAAUCGGAAUCACUUGUGGUUCUGAAAUGUGGCUUGAAGGCAGUACCAGUGGCAUCGCGGACGAAAGUCUCUUGGAAAAGAGCGUCAUAGAGGGUGAGAAUCCCGUGAGUCGUUCGCCGUUUGUCACGUACGGUCUGCGUUCUAACGAGUCGCGUUCCUUGGGAUUGGAGCGUAAACGGGUGGUAAAUUUCAUCCAAAGCAAAAUAUAUACUCGAGACCGAUAGCACAAAAGUACCGUGAGGGAAAGGUGAAAAGAACUUUGAGAAGAGGGUUAAAUAGUGCCUGAAAUCGUUGAGAAGGAAGCGGAUGCCGCCGUUGCAUAUGCUGAUUGUAGGAUUGCUGCUCGCUCCUGUCUUCUGCUACUCAUUCACAGACCUGGUCGUGUGAGCAGUGUUGGCAGAUGUUAG
rnacentral:ncRNA from 1 species